rnacentral:rRNA from 1 species
ACUUAAGCAUAUCAAUAAGCGGAGGAAAAGAAACCAACAGGGAUUGCCUCAGUAACGGCGAGUGAAGCGGCAACAGCUCAAAUUUGAAAUCUGACCCCUUCGGGGCCCGAGUUGUAAUUUGUAGAGGACGCUUCGGGUGCGGCGCCGGUCUAAGUUCCUUGGAACAGGACGUCAUAGAGGGUGAGAAUCCCGUAUGCGACCGGCGGUCAACCUCAUGUGAAGCCCCUUCGACGAGUCGAGUUGUUUGGGAAUGCAGCUCAAAAUGGGUGGUAAAUUUCAUCUAAAGCUAAAUACCGGCCAGAGACCGAUAGCGCACAAGUAGAGUGAUCGAAAGAUGAAAAGCACUUUGGAAAGAGAGUCAAACAGUACGUGAAAUUGUUGAAAGGGAAGCGCUUGCAACCAGACCUGCCCGCGGGCGAUCAGCCGUUAUUCUUAGCGGUGCACUCGUCCGCGAUCAGGCCAGCAUCGGUUCGGGCGGCCGGAUAAAGGCUUCGGGAAUGUAGCUCCCCCCGGGGAGUCUUAUAGCCCGGGGUGCAAUGCGGCCAGCCCGGACCGAGGACCGCGCUUCGGCUAGGAUGCUGGCGUAAUGGUUGUAAGCGACCCGUCUUGAAACACGGACC